rnacentral:rRNA from 1 species
AGCGUAGACGGCAAGGCAAGUCUGAUGUGAAAACCCAGGGCUUAACCCUGGGACUGCAUUGGAAACUGUCUGGCUCGAGUGCCGGAGAGGUAAGCGGAAUUCCUAGCGUAGCGGUGAAAUGCGUAGAUAUUAGGAAGAACACCAGUGGCGAAGGCGGCUUACUGGACGGUAACUGACGUUGAGGCUCGAAAGCGUGGGAAGCAAACA